rnacentral:rRNA from 1 species
UAAGGAAUACUGGACAAUGGAGGCAACUCUGAUCCAGCCAUGCCGCGUGAAGGAAUAAGGCCCUAUGGGUUGUAAACUUCUUUUAGACGGGACAAAACCCCUUUACGUGUAAAGGGUUGAUGGUACUGUCAGAAUAAGCAUCGGCUAACUUCGUGCCAGCAGCCGCGGUAAUACGAAGGAUGCAAGCGUUAUCCGGAAUUAUUGGGUUUAAAGGGUGCGUAGGCGGACUAAUAAGUCAGUGGUGAAAGCCUGCAGCUUAACUGCAGAAUUGCCAUUGAUACUGUUAGUCUUGAGUACAGUUGAGGUAGGCGGAAUGUGUCAUGUAGCGGUGAAAUGCUUAGAUAUGACACAGAACACCGAUUGCGAAGGCAGCUUGCUAAGCUGUAACUGACGCUGAGGCACGAAAGCGUGGGGAGCAAACA